UUCUCGGGCCCGUGCAAUGGGGGCCAAUCGUGUCAGGACUGAGAGGUAGCAGCACUAAGCGGUAACCUUCAUGUGCCACGGGGAACCCGGGGGCUG
rnacentral:SRP_RNA from 1 species